UUCUUUUUAAUUAAUUAAUUAAAAAACAGUACUUAAAAAUAAAAAUUUAGAGCGAUAGUACUUGUUUCUUAUCUUGACUCACCUACACUUUCAGCACAGUUAACUACGUAGGUUGGUGUUUAUAUGGGAAUUAAUUUCUUUUUCACUUUCAAGUACUAAUUAUAUAUUAAAUUAUUCGAUAUCUAUUUUAUUAGGUUAAUUUGUUUCAAGUGCUCUGCCUAUUUAUUUAUAUUAUCUUUUCAACAAUAAAUUAUUUAUUGAUGCUAAUAUUUAGCACUUAAUAGUUAAAUGCUAAUAACACCAUAAGUUUUUAAUUUAAUAUUCCUUCCUAACUAAUCAUACCUACCUAGGUUCUAAUUUAAAUAGCACCUAGAUUAUAACAUUGAAUUAUUAUGGACUAAUAAAAGAUAGCCUAUUUAGUACCUACUCUUGUUUGACAUUAAACCUAUAAUAUUAUAAGCAAAAUAUUUAUAACUUUGUUAACUUUAUGAUAGGUUGUAAUUAUAUUAUUGUUGCAAUCAUUGAUUAAAUUCCUACUUUACUAGUAGAUAUGGUAAAAAUUUAUGACUUCGUUUUUUACUGCUUGGCUACCGUUUCAUAGACAUCAAAACUCUAACUUUACAAUCGGCUUGCAGUCCAAGUACAGCCCUCAUGUAGCUUAUUAAAAAACUGCAUUCUUAUGGAAGACCGAUUGGAUAGUCCCCGCCAACGGAAAGACAUGGUCAUUGGUGACCUUAUAGCAGUCACGUAAUAAGCCAAUUGGAGCUAAUAAGGGAGGAACGAUUAGCGACUAUGAAGCUAGGAUCAUCAGGCUUUGGGAGAUACCCCCUACCAGACACCCUUAAACUUUAACAAUCUAUUAAAUUUCACUGGAAAGAGGUUCAUUAGCACUUUAUAAAUCUGUAAUUACAAGUCGCUGAGACAUGUAUUUACAGAGAUAUAAAAUUUUUAAUGUUUAUCAAAAAUUUUAAAUAAUCCACUAUAGAAAACAUGAGUACUAUUUUGAUAAUAAUUCAUUAAUAUUCACUGGACAGUGGUUAUUUCGCGCUGCAACUGUAGUUAGUGUAAUUGAUAAAUGUAAUAAAUCUAUACUAAUAAAUAAAAUUGAAGUGUC